GACGAACCGUGCAAACGUUGUUCGGACUCACUGGGCUUAAAGGGCGCGUAGGCGGCUUGCCAAGUCAGGGGUGAAAUCUUUCGGCUCAACCGGAAAAGUGCUUCUGAUACUGGCGGGCUGGAGGGAGGUAGGGGCAGAUGGAACUUCCGGUGGAGCGGUGAAAUGCGUAGAUAUCGGAAGGAACGCCGGUGGCGAAAGCGAUCUGCUGGACCUCUUCUGACGCUGAGGCGCGAAAGCAUGGGGAG
rnacentral:rRNA from 1 species